rnacentral:rRNA from 1 species
GCAUGUCGAACGAAGCACUUGUGCUUAGUGGCGAAUGGGUGAGUAACACGUACUUAAUCUGCCCUCAAGUCUGGGACAACAGUUGGAAACGACUGCUAAUACCGAAUAUGUACUACUACCGCAUGGUAGUUUUAUAAAAGGAGCGUUUGCUUCGCUAGAGGAUGAGAGUGCGUCGCAUUAGUUAGUUGGUAGGGUAAAGGCCUACCAAGCCUACGAUCUAUAGCUGGUUUGAGAGGAUGAUC